AUUGAACGCUGGCGGCAGGCCUAACACAUGCAAGUCGAGCGGAUGAAGGGAGCUUGCUCCUGGAUUCAGCGGCGGACGGGUGAGUAAUGCCUAGGAAUCUGCCUGGUAGUGGGGGAUAACGUCCGGAAACGGGCGCUAAUACCGCAUACGUCCUGAGGGAGAAAGUGGGGGAUCUUCGGACCUCACGCUAUCAGAUGAGCCUAGGUCGGAUUAGCUAGUUGGUGGGGUAAAGGCCUACCAAGGCGACGAUCCGUAACUGGUCUGAGAGGAUGAUCAGUCACCAUGGAACGGAGACACGGUCCAGCCCCCUACGGGAGGCAGCAGGGGGGAAUUUUGGACAAUGGGCGAAAGCCUGACCCAGCCAUGCCGGGGGUGUGAAGAAGGUCUUCGGAUUGUAAAGCACUUUAAGUUGGGAGGAAGGGCAGUAAGUUAAAACCUUGCUGUUUUGACGUUACCAACAGAAUAAGCACCGGCUAACUUCGU
rnacentral:rRNA from 1 species